CUCCUGUCAAGCGAUGGGCGCGAGACUACGGCUGGCUGAUGCCUGCGCGAGCGGCAGGGACGUCGACCUGUAACCGCGGGAGCUUGAGGUCUCGCAACAGGUUUUUCCGGUUCGUGUGGAAGCAGGCUGCGGGGUGCCGCCUCCCUCCGGCGGGGGCCAGGAUCAAUUUUUGCGCCUCUCGUGACUCAGUAACAGGUACUAGAAUCCCUCGAUCCACGUUGGAAAGAAAGGUGAGACUAAGGACCUCAAAAAGAGGGUGACCCAGCUAAUCGAGAGGCGGAGACGAGGACACCAAUUUGGAGCCCAGCCUGGGCAAUUCGGUAAGACCUUGUCUCAACAUUUAAAAAAGAAAAAAGUGGCAAAGGAAGUGCUGGGGAUGUAGCUGAGCGCUCAAGAAGAAGCAGCUUGCCUGAGGUGGUGGCGCCCACCUGUAAUCCCAGUAAUCUGGGAGACUGAAGCAGGAAGGAUCACAAACUCAGUUUCCACCUGGAGAAUUUACGUUGAGAAUCUAUCUCAAAUUAAAAAUAAUGAUGAGGAGUAGGACUGGAAAUACAGCCAAGUGGAAAGGCCCUGGAUGCAAACCCCUGUGUAACUAAAAAUAAAUCAAUAAUAAAUAGUGGCGUGGGCCGGGGAUUUAGCUCAAUGGCAGCGCUCCUGCCUCGCAAGCUCAAGGUCCUGAGUCCGAUCCCCGUUACCAAAAUAAAUAAAAAGUGAAGAAACGUUGUAUCUUAUAAAAUUUAGGGAAAACUUGAGUUCGGUUUUGAAUAUAGUCAAUCUACUUAAAAUACUUUCAUGAAUAAUACUAUAUUAGUACACUUCUCAGUUACUGAAAGUUUCAGCUUAGGGUCAGAAAUUGACAGCCUCUAUACCUAAAACAGCCAAAAAUUAUGAACGAUAAGGUGACCCUGUGUCAUUAACAUCCAGGAUAGAGAAAGAGUAAGAGUGAAAUAUAUUCAACCUUGAUUUCAGAAAAUAUCAAUCUGUACUGUAAUCAGGAAUUUGCAUUCUUUCGUAUGAAGUGAGAUUGCUGACUUUAUUCAGGAGAACUGAAAGAGAAACUAAUGAAAUCACCAUGUAGGAUCCAGGCCUAAAGUUUUAAGCUGGGAGAGUAUCCAUCAAAAGUCAGAAAAUCUGAAUAAAAUAUUCAGUUCCCCUAAAUACAAAGAAGCAGGCUAUGUUGUUCUAAGAUCUAGAUUUACUGGAGAUGUAGCUCAGUAUUAGAGCACUUGCCAAGCAUUUAUGAGGCCCUUGCUUACAUUCCAAC
rnacentral:lncRNA from 1 species